CGCGGAAGAUGUAACGGGGCUAAACCAUGCACCGAAGCUGCGGCAGCGACACUAUGUGUUGUUGGGUAGGGGAGCGUUCUGUAAGCCUGCGAAGGUGACCUGUGAGGGUUGCUGGAGGUAUCAGAAGUGCGAAUGCUGACAUAAGUAACGAUAAAGCGGGUGAAAAGCCCGCUCGCCGGAAGACCAAGGGUUCCUGUCCAACGUUAAUCGGGGCAGGGUGAGUCGACCCCUAAGGCGAGGCCGAAAGGCGUAGUCGAUGGGAAACAGGUUAAUAUUCCUGUACUUGGUGUUACUGCGAAGGGGGGACGGAGAAGGCUAUGUUAGCCGGGCGACGGUUGUCCCGGUUUAAGCAUGUAGGCUGGUUAUCCAGGCAAAUCCGGAUAAUCAAGGCUGAGGUGUGAUGACGAGGCACUACGGUGCUGAAGUAACAAAUGCCCUGCUUCCAGGAAAAGCCUCUAAGCAUCAGGUAACAUCAAAUCGUACCCCAAACCGACACAGGUGGUCAGGUAGAGAAUACCAAGGCGCUUGAGAGAACUCGGGUGAAGGAACUAGGCAAAAUGGUGCCGUAACUUCGGGAGAAGGCACGCUGGUGUGUAGGUGAAG
rnacentral:rRNA from 1 species